UCCAAGCUGCCAGCAAGUAGUGAGCAAGGGUUUCUUCGUUGGCCAUCCACUGCUCUAAUAGACUCACAGGGAGAAAGGGAGCAAAGCCAAAGUGACUUACCAACAGUUCCCCAGCACGUGAGAAGGGGAACUGGGAACCAAUCCCAGAUCUCACUAGUCCCAGACCAGUGCCCUGCCUGCAGGUCUCAAAGCCUCUCACCUGCAUGGAAGAACUGGAUGAAAAGGUGGCAGAGUCUAGACCUUUGUCUCCAUAACUCAAUGUUCCUAUCUGUAAAGCUGAGCUCAAACCCACUCCCUGCCAGAAGAGGCUGUGAAUAUAAGCUAGAUAAAGUUUGUGCAAUGCUGAAGAAAUAUGAAGUGCUCUAGAAGUGUUGAGUGCAGCUGAUAAAAGGGAGAUACCCACACACAAAGGAAGAAACAACCCUUAGGACAGAAGGAAGCUUUCAGGGCAGAAACAAACAGGAUUAUUAAACACUUUCUCGGCUUCUCCAGCAAUGGCUCCUUUAAGAUACUGGCUAAGCAAGCUAUUCCUUGCAGCUACAGAGCGGUGUACGGAGGCUGCAGUGUGAUGAAGACUCUGCCUGCUCAGACGGAGAACUCGCUUUGGGUCACAAGGGAAACAGUCUAGCCCUCCCAGGCUCGGCCGCUGGAAAUCCCCACCUCAUUGGCAGAGUCCACCGGCACCAGCAUUUCUCUUCAGGAACAUCUCAGGAUUGCAACGGCAAGGUCAAGAUGGAGCUGGCUGGCAAAGCUGGGCUGUAUGGAAACUUAGACAACAUCAGUAAGCCCCACACCUGGCACUAGCUGUUGUUAAAAGCCCCACCAGUUGAUUAUUAGCAGUAAUUGAGUUGGUCUAAUAAAAGAGAUCACAUUUCCCAAAAAACCUUGAUUAGCAUUAAAUGCAUUCACAAGGAAAACUACCAACCACCCCUUCCUAUAGAGCUGUUGACUCUUCUGCUUCCACAUUCCCUUUUCUUUCAGUAAUGAUGUAUUCCCCCAGCAGCUAAAUGCCAUUGCCUCCGGCAAGGGUGUCCCUUUCACAUGAGGGACCGCACUGCUAAAUCGCCCUCAGCUAUAUGGAAACCAGCCUGCUGCUGGGUCUGCCUAGCUUCUUUCAUAUUCAUUCCAUCAUCAUCUUUGAUGUGCGGCUAUGUACUUCUCAAGGACCAGGAAGGACUGAGCCCAGUCUAUGGGAGAAGAGGGACAGUGGUGUUCAGCAGUGGAUGUAGAUAGGUAAUGAUCCUAACUGUGCAAAACCUCAGCAUGCUGAAGCACUCUGUAAGAAAGCUGCUUUGGAUCAGCUGCUGCUGUGAUGUGGGUUCCCAAUGACUGCUAUGACAGGCUAAAUCCAACCCCAUCCCUUACUUCAGCCGGCCACAUACCCCUGGAACAGCACGUUCUGGGCUUGUGCUCUUUCUUGCAGGUAAACUGAGAGAGGGGAUGAAUUCUGCUUGAAAAUUGGAGGAUUGGGACAAAAGAAAUCUCAUGAGGUUCAACAAGGUCUUGCACUUAGGAUGGAAGAAUCCCAUGCAGGCUUGGGACAAACUGGCUAAGCAGCUGCUCUGCAGAAAAAGACCUGGGGGUGACAGGGGACAAGAAGCUGGACAGGAGCCAGCAGUGUGCCCAUGUUGCCAAGAAGGGUAACGGCAUCCUGGGCUGCAUGGGUAGGAGCGCUGCCAGCAGAUGGAGGGCAGUGAUUCUUCCCCUCUGUUCAGCUCUGGGGAGGCCACAUCUGGAGUCCUGUGUCCAGCUGUGUGCCCCCCGCUACAAAAAGGGUGUGGACACAUUGGAGAGAGUCCAGUGGAGGACAACAAAAAUGGUUGGGGCACUGUGAGAUAUGACUUGUGAGGAGAGGCUGAGGGAACUGGGCUGAUUGAGUCUGCAGAAGAGAAGACCGAGGGGGAUUGAAAAGCAGCCUCCACCUCCCUGCAGGGGGGCUGCAAAGAGGAUAAAGCUGGGCUUUCUCAGUGGGGGCAGAUGACAGGACAAGGAGCAAUGGGCUUAAGUGGCAGCAAGGGAAGUUGAGGUUGGAUAUUAGGAAAAACUCUCUCACGGGGAGGGUAGUAAAACACUGAAGCAAGUUACCCAAAGAGGUGGGGGAAGCUCCAUCCUUAAAGGUUUUUAAGACCUGGGCGGACAAAGCCUCGGCUGGGAUGAUGUAGUUGGGGCUGGUCCUGCUUGGAGGAGGGGCCUGAACUAGAUGUGACCUCUUGAGGUCCCUUCAACCCUCAUUUUCUAUGAUUUUAUGAAAAUCUCUGACCUGGUAUUAUAUUUUCAAAUUCAGUAUCAAGCCAGAAUUAACCUUUUCCUGUCUCUGAUCAUUAGUGGAUCAGAGGCUGAAGGCUGGGCUUAACAAAAUAACUAUCCAUGUUUAUUUGCUGCAGAAGCCCAGGGAAGCCCUGAAGAAUCAUUCCUUUUCAUGGCUUAUCAAUGCGUAUAUGGAGACUGACUUAGGGUUAAUUCUUUGAUUCUGAACCCAGCAAGAUACAAGAGGAAGGAAAGGCUGGUGUUCUGCGAAGCUCUCUAAAGCCGGUAUGUGGCCAGGCAGCGUGAACAGGAAAGAAGAACCACACGGCUCUUGUACUGCCCAAAGCUGCCAAAUCUUUCCCAUCUCAGAUGGGACUUGGCUUAGUGCGUGUAGUAGGGAGAGGCUUUCAGUGUUGCUCUGUGAAAGAAAAAUGAAGUCCUUUAAACUGGAUAGUAACAGCCUCAGGGCACUUUUGUUUUCAUUUUCCUUAUUAUUUUGCAGUGCAGGGGGAGCUGGGGGGGCAGAUUUCCCUUUGCUGACUCAUUUGUAUGUUAUAAAAUGUCUUCAAACUGAACCAACCAACAGCCAAGGCCACCACAGACCAGUGUGCCAGACUGUGAGUAAAUAAAAGCACAUAUAAUACUCAUUCUAUGCAUCAGGAUCCAGUUCUGUAACGGUCUUUAGGUACUGAAAGAUGCAGGUAGGAGCCUAAGGAGAUUUAACCUGGCCUAAGCUAGUAGGACAUCUAUUUCUGUUGAACCAUGAGCACUUAAGUGCACUGUGUAAAUCCUCUCUACCUGCAUUUUUCAUACCUAAAUAGCUUAGUAAAACUGGCCCAAGGUCUCCUACUCCUCAGAGUGCUCGUGUUGUUUGAUGUCAGUGUUUUGGUUCAAAGUCCCUUGUAAGAGCCAGAUCCUCGGAGCUCCUCACGGCGUGGGACAGGCAGGGAAGAACAGCUCCGAAAGGCUCAACACUUCUGACCAGUUGAGGAGCGCAGCAGUUUUGUAGGGAAGUGCACGUCAAUUAUAGCAGGUUUCACUCAACCUGGACGAAGACAACAUUCAUGUUGGUUUCACCUUUGAUGCUAAUUUCCUAAUUUCACUCUUUGUCUUUCUUUUUGAACCAUGAAACCCUUUUUUGUUAAUUUUGUUUCAUUUUCCACAUAAGCUUUUUGUAAAGACCCUUCUCUAAAGACAA